rnacentral:lncRNA from 1 species
GCAAUUCUUGAAAGGAUGAAUGGUGAUGGCAAUUCUUUCUUUCGGGAGCAUAUCGUUCGCUAUGAGUGGGGUGCAGUCGUAGAAUAUCGAAAUUAGACAGGCUAUUGUUAGCCAUAUGAUGACAAAAACAGAAAAAUUAAAAACAUCUUGGUAGAAUGGCAUUACCCAAUGAAUGUGCAAUAGAUGUUGAGCUUUUUGCUGCCACUUCUUUGCUUAACAUAGAUAUAAUACUGUGGUUGCAAUCAGUUGAUAAGGCCUUGUUUGGAAAACCCAUCAUGAAUCGUUCAGUUGGCCUGAAUGAUUCAAAUCAUUAUGAAAAAUUGGCUAUAUAUCUACGACAUACCACCAGAAACCACUUCGAUUAUCUCAAAGGAGUUUUUUAAAUCAUUAAUUUGUCAUUGAAAACUAUUGAUAAAAUGAAAAACAAAAAUAUACAAUUGAAGAUAACUGAUAUUGAAACAAAUAACCUCAUCUCCUUUUUUUAUCCAUACACAUACAUAGGAUUAUAUUUCAAAACCAUAAUUUGCAAGGGAUUAGCCGUUUAAUCCAGGAUUUGCACUGGUUAAAUAAAUGAAAAUGAUUCUAGUAAUUUCAUUAAGGGGGAGUACUUAUUUCGUAGGGGGAGUACAAGUCUAAUACAGGAUAACUAUUUGGGAGUAGUUAUCCAUAUGGUAUUUGUAUGGAGGAGUACUUUUUUGGGAGUACAUAUUCAAUACUACACCAUUACAUAAAAUAAAUUAGAAGUAACAUAGCAAUAUUUUAAAAAUAAAUAGAAAACAAUAUUUCACAUACGUCAACAUAGAAAUAGGUAAACACCUUUUUUUGAAGGAAUGUUUGCUCUUUUCUCUAUAAAUCCUCUCUUUUAGGGAGGACGGCUCUCGCUGAGUUCGUAUAAAUCUUAACGACGGACCAGGGAGUUCUAUAGAGAUUCGAUAAGGCUCUUCUUCGUUACUAUUGUAUUAAAUAAAUAAACAAGAUUCCCUGCUUCGUGACGUUGGGAUAUAUUGGAGAAAAUAAAAGAAUGACCAAAGUAUUAUUUUUGAUUCUGUAUCUUGUUUUGAACUUGAUAUAUUUCCUUCCAUAGGCUUAAGAAUUAUGAAAAGCGUAAUUCUUCUUCAGAUUCUUAUAAAUUAUUCAUCAUUCAUAGUGAUAAGGAAUAUGUUGGAUUAUAUUAAGAAAAAUAUUGAACGUUUAAUUUAAUAAAUUACUGAUUUAAAUUAAAUAUUUAUCUCAAGUGAUUUUUAUUCGAUUUUGUAUUUUUUAAGUGAUUUAAGGAAUUUAAAAGUUGAAUAUAAAUCAACUGGAACCAAUAAACCAUUUACCAGGUGUCAUGUUUUAUAAAAUUGGUAAUAUUGGAGAAUUUACUUGCAAUGAUAUAUAUGGCUUCUUUUAAAAGAAAAGUAUCAUACUAUAAAUGUUUCUUCCUACAUUGUACACCUUUGCUCAUAUUAAUCUGGAUGGCAUCUGUGAAAUGAAUUAAUGCAUUGUUUACAUCAAUUCAAAAAUACUGGUUAUGUUAGUUGUUUGGAAGUUUAAUACUCUUCAACAAUAUUGAAUCAUUUUUUUACUAUUUGUAUAUUUGAUUUUGACAUUCCAUUAAGGAAUAAUUAAUAAU